AGAGUUUGAUCCUGGCUCAGGACGAACGCUGGCGGCGCGCCUAACACAUGCAAGUCGAACGAGCAAAGAGGAGCUUGCUUCUCUGAGCGAGUGGCGAACGGGUGAGUAACGCGUGAGGAACCUGCCUCAAAGAGGGGGACAACAGUUGGAAACGACUGCUAAUACCGCAUAAGCCCACGGGUCGGCAUCGACCAGAGGGAAAAGGAGCAAUCCGCUUUGAGAUGGCCUCGCGUCCGAUUAGCUAGUUGGUGAGGUAACGGCCCACCAAGGCGACGAUCGGUAGCCGGACUGAGAGGUUGAACGGCCACAUUGGGACUGAGACACGGCCCAGACUCCUACGGGAGGCAGCAGUGGGGAAUAUUGCACAAUGGGGGAAACCCUGAUGCAGCGACGCCGCGUGGAGGAAGAAGGUCUUCGGAUUGUAAACUCCUGUUGUUGAGGAAGAUAAUGACGGUACUCAACAAGGAAGUGACGGCUAACUACGUGCCAGCAGCCGCGGUAAAACGUAGGUCACAAGCGUUGUCCGGAAUUACUGGGUGUAAAGGGAGCGCAGGCGGGAAGACAAGUUGGAAGUGAAAUCCAUGGGCUCAACCCAUGAACUGCUUUCAAAACUGUUUUUCUUGAGUAGUGCAGAGGUAGGCGGAAUUCCCGGUGUAGCGGUGGAAUGCGUAGAUAUCGGGAGGAACACCAGUGGCGAAGGCGGCCUACUGGGCACCAACUGACGCUGAGGCUCGAAGGUGUGGGUAGCAAACAGGAUUAGAUACCCUGGUAGUCCACACCGUAAACGAUGAUUACUAGGUGUUGGAGGAUUGAUCCCUUCAGUGCCGCAGUUAACACAAUAAGUAAUCCACCUGGGGAGUACGACCGCAAGGUUGAAACUCAAAGGAAUUGACGGGGGCCCGCACAAGCAGUGGAGUAUGUGGUUUAAUUCGACGCAACGCGAAGAACCUUACCAAGUCUUGACAUCCUGCGACGGACAUAGAAAUAUGUUUUUCCUUCGGGACGCAGAGACAGGUGGUGCAUGGUUGUCGUCAGCCCGUGUCGUGAGAUGUUGGGUUAAGUCCCGCAACGAGCGCAACCCCUAUUCUUAGUAGCCAGCGGGUAAGCCGGGCACUCUAGGGAGACUGCCAGGGAUAACCUGGAGGAAGGUGGGGAUGACGUCAAAUCAUCAUGCCCCUUAUGACUUGGGCUACACACGUGCUACAAUGGCGUAAACAAAGGGAAGCGAGCCUGCGAGGGGGAGCAAAUCUCAAAAAUAACGUCUCAGUUCGGACUGCAGUCUGCAACUCGACUGCACGAAGCUGGAAUCGCUAGUAAUCGCGAAUCAGAAUGUCGCGGUGAAUACGUUCCCGGGUCUUGUACACACCGCCCGUCACACCAUGGGAGUUGGUAAUGCCCGAAGUCAGUGACCCAACCGCAAGGAGGGAGCUGCCGAAGUCAGGAUCGAUAACUGGGGUGAAGUCGUAACAAGGUA
rnacentral:rRNA from 1 species